AUGUCAUGGUGAAGGCAUUUUCUCAAAAGCUCUUUAAAUCUUUCCCAAGUAAUCGAAACUGCCUCAUCGUCCUUUUGUUUAAAAAGACAAAUUUCGUUUAUGGACUU